UACGUAGGGUGCGAGCGUUAAUCGGAAUUACUGGGCGUAAAGCGUGCGCAGGCGGUUCGUUAAGUCAGAUGUGAAAGCCCCGGGCUCAACCUGGGAACUGCAUUUGAAACUGGCGGGCUUGAGUAUGGCAGAGGGGGGUGGAAUUCCGCGUGUAGCAGUGAAAUGCGUAGAGAUCGUAAGGAAGACCAGUGGCGAAGGCGAGUUUCUGGACAGUUACUGACGCUGAGGCACGAAGGCCAGGGGAGCAAACGGG
rnacentral:rRNA from 1 species